CUUCGGGAGGAUGCGCAAGAGGGCAGCGGGAGUGGCGGACGGGUGCGUAACACGUGAGCGACCUGCCGUUGUGUGGGGGAUAACCGGGGGAAACUCCGGCUAAUACCGCAUGGGCCCUGGGGCUGCAUGGCCUGGGGGUGAAAGGUCCUUUAGGGGACUGCGCAACGAGGGGCUCGCGGCGUAUCAGCUAGCUGGUGGGGUAACGGCCUACCAGGGCGAUGACGCGUAGCUGAUCUGAGAGGAUGAUCAGCCACACUGGGACUGAGAUACGGCCCAGACUCCUACGGGAGGCAGCAGUGGGGAAUCUUGCGCAAUGGCCGAGAGGCUGACGCAGCGACGCCGCGUGCGGGAGGACGCUCUUCGGGGUGUAAACCGCUGUCGGGAGGGACGAAGAUCCUGGGGAGGCAAUGCCCCGGGGGUGACGGUACCUCCAGAGGAAGCACCGGCUAACUCCGUGCCAGCAGCCGCGGUAAUACGGAGGGUGCGAGCGUUGUUCGGAAUUACUGGGCGUAAAGGGCGCGUAGGCGGCCGUUUAAGUCUACCUGUGAAAGGCCGGGGCUCAACCCCGUGCUGGCAGGAGAUACUGGGCGGCUGGCGACAUGUCAGAGGCGGGUGGAAUUCCGGGUGUAGCGGUGGAAUGCGUAGAGAUCCGGGAGACACCGGGGGCGAUGCGGCCGCUGGGGCCUGGUCUGACGCUGAGC
rnacentral:rRNA from 1 species